rnacentral:rRNA from 1 species
AACGAACGCUGGCGGCAUGCCUAACACAUGCAAGUCGAACGAGACCUCCGGGUCUAGUGGCGCACGGGUGCGUAACGCGUGGGAACCUGCCCGUAGGUUCGGAAUAACUCCCCGAAAGGGGUCCUAAUACCGGAUAAUGUCUUCGGACCAAAGAUUUAUCGCCUUUGGAUGGGCCCGCGUUGGAUUCGCUAGUUGGUAGGGUAAAAGCCUACCAAGGCGACGAUCCAUAGCUGGUCUGAGAGGAUGAUCAGCCACACUGGGACUGAGACACGGCCCAGACUCCUACGGAGGGGAGCAGUGGGGAAUAUUGGACGAGGGGCGAAAGCCUGAUCCAGCAGUGCCGCGUGAGUGAUGAAGGCCUUAGGGUUGUAAAGCUCUUUUACCCGGGAUGAUAAUGACGGUACCGGGAGAAUAAGCUCCGGCUAACUCCGUG